UGAGAUUAUGGACAAAACCAACUUUUUAAGCUAUUCUCAAAAACUAUAAUGGAUGGCUAUGAUAUAUUGUUACACUGAGGCUUUCAUCUAUGUAGUAUAAUAAGGUUGGAACUCAGGACUAGCUCUGGCCAGCCAGUGAAGUCAUGUGCUUCAGGACUGAAGAAGCAGGGGAAGUUCUCUGAAUUCUCACUUCAUCGUCUACAGCCACCAUAGAAGUCACAUGUUAAGAUAGUAGAACUACAAAUAGCAGCAGUCUUAGAUCUCUUGAUCUUUGCUAUGAAGGGAAUCACCCUGAAAGAUCUGAAUACACCAGACUUCACUGUGGCAAGAAGUAAAACUUAAGCCACUAAAUGUUGAAGUUUGUAUAACUGCAGCAUGGCUUAGCUAUACCAGUAAAACUGAUCUGAGAUUAUUUGUAUAUUUUAUAGCAUAUAUUUAUCAAAAUGGAGAAAAUACCAGAAGAAGUAAUCAGAGAAUGAAUUAAAGAAAAUUCUUUUAAGUUCAGAAGAUUCACUAAUUCCCAGAUUAAACAACAACAACGAAAUAAUCUCCGUUCAUCAGGAUGUCAAAUAUCACAAGGGUUCUCACCAUUGUUCCCCAUCUUCAGAGGCGAUCCCUAGGGUCAAAGGGCUGUGGGAGCCGAUGCAUGAUGGGAAAUUAAAAGGUGGCCUACGGUGGAGAAAACUGGAAAAUAUUAGCUCAGAAGAACAAAGGCAUGCAUGAGAAGCAAGAAGGCAAAACGGGCUACGUGAGAGUAUGGUUAAAUAUGAAGGCAACAAAGCAAAUUGUUGAUCAGCUGACUUAUCCCAAUCAAUUAAGACAGUUGUAAUAAACUAAUUAGUCAUUAGUCAUUCGGUAUACUCAUCAUCUUGCCAUCUAAUUGGGUCGAUUGUUCUUUAGGAUAAUUCACUGUUCAGGA
rnacentral:lncRNA from 1 species